rnacentral:tRNA from 1 species
AGGCUUGUAGCUCAGUUUGGUUAGAGCACACCCCUGAUAAGGGUGAGGUCGGUGGUUCAAGUCCACUCAGGCCUA